rnacentral:rRNA from 1 species
GACGAACGCUGGCGGCGUGCCUAACACAUGCAAGUCGAGCGAGUGAAUCUCCUUCGGGAGUGAAGCUAGCGGCGGACGGGUGAGUAACACGUGGGCAACCUGCCUCAUAGAGGGGAAUAGCCUUUCGAAAGGAAGAUUAAUACCGCAUAAGAUUGUAGCUUCGCAUGAAGUAGCAAUUAAAGGAGCAAUCCGCUAUGAGAUGGGCCCGCGGCGCAUUAGCUAGUUGGUGAGGUAACGGCUCACCAAGGCGAAGAUGCGUAGCCGACCUGAGAGGGUGAUCGGCCACAUUGGGACUGAGACACGGCCCAGACUCCUACGGGAGGCAGCAGUGGGGAGUAUUGCACAAUGGGGGAAACCCUGAUGCAGCAACGCCGCGUGAGUGAUGACGGCCUUCGGGUUGUAAGGCUCUGUCUUCAGGGACGAUAAUGACGGUACCUGAGGAGGAAGCCACGGCUAACUUCGUGCCAGCAGCCGCCGUAAGAC